GACAGAGGGUGCAAACGUUGCUCGGAAUCACUGGGCGUAAAGGGCGUGUAGGCGGGAAGGAAAGUCGGGCGUGAAAUCCCUGGGCUCAACCCAGGAACUGCACUCGAAACUUCUUUUCUUGAGUGCCGGAGAGGAAAGCGGAAUACCUGGUGUAGAGGUGAAAUUCGUAGAUAUCAGGUGGAACACCAGUGGCGAAGGCGGCUUUCUGGACGGUAACUGACGCUGGAGAACGCGAAAGCGUGGGGAGCAAACAGG
rnacentral:rRNA from 1 species